rnacentral:rRNA from 1 species
AAGGAUCAUUACAGUAUGAUUAGGGGGAGUUGGAUGCUGGCCCGCGAGGGCACGUGCGCGCUCCCCUGUUUGUUAUUACACACCUGUGCACCUAUGGCGAGCGUCUCCCAUUUUGGAGCCGUCUGAUGUCAAAAUUGGACCGGGGCGCUCCCUCUUUUUCUUGUUACAACCUCAGCCUGUUAAAACGCAUGUCUAAGCUCUACGGAGCUGAAAAAGUUAAUAUAACUUUCAACAACGGAUCUCUUGGCUUUCGCAUCGAUGAAGAACGCCGCGAAAGUGCGAAACGUAAUGUGAAUUGCAGAAUUCAGUGAAUCAUCGAAUCUUUGAACGCAUCUUGCGCUCCUUGGUAUUCCGAGGAGCAUGCCUGUUUGAGUGUCGUGAAUCCUCUCGAUCCCCUUCCUUUGAAAGGAGGGAGGGGUCGGAUUUGGACGCUUGCGGUGGUUUUUGACCGUCGCUCGUCUUUAAAUGCAUUAGCUUGGCCUCUCUGGAGUCGGUUCAAAGACGGUGUGAUAAUAAAACGUGUCUCGCCGUCGGGUCCGAUUCUAAUGUGAGGUAGCUUCCAAUCGCCUCCUUUUUGCAUCUGACCUCAAAUCAGGUAGGACUACCCGCUGAACUUAA